rnacentral:rRNA from 1 species
AGGGCGAUCGGUGGAUGCCUUGGCAUCAAGAGCCGAUGAAGGACGUUGUAACCUGCGAUAAGCCACGGGGAGUUGGUAAACGAGCUUUGAUCCGUGGAUGUCCGAAUAGGGAAACCUCGAAAGUGACCGGAGUCAUGUCCGGCGACCCCACCUUGAAUCUAUAGGGGUGUGGGAGGGAACGUGGGGAAGUGAAACAUCUCAGUACCCAUAGGAGAAGAAAACAAAAUGUGAUUCCGUGAGUAGUGGCGAGCGAAAGCGGAAGAGGCCAAACCUUGCAUGUGUGAUAGCUGACAGGUGUUGCAUGUGGGGUGUUGUGGGGCCGUUUGUGAUCUGGCUGUCGACAGGUCGGGGAGUGAUAAAACAACAUCGAAGUCGAACCAUCUGGGAUGGUGGACCGUAGGGCGUGAUAGUCGUGUAGGCGUAUGGUGUUGUCUUCCUAUAAUGGUUCCCAAGUAGUACGGAACUCCUGAAAUUCCGUGUGAAUCUGGCGGGACCACCCGCUAAGCCUAAAUACUCCUUGAUGACCGAUAGCGGACAAGUACCGUGAGGGAAAGGUGAAAAGUACCCCGGGAGGGGAGUGAAAUAGUACCUGAAACCGAUUGCCUACAAUCCGUCGGAGCCCUUCGGGGUGACGGCGUGCCUUUUGAAGAAUGAGCCUGCGAGUUAGUGGUACGUGGCGAGGUUAACCCGUGUGGGGAAGCCGUAGCGAAAGCAAGUCCGAAUAGGGCGACAUAGUCGCGUGCUCUAGACCCGAAGCGUAGUGAUCUAUCCAUGGCCAGGGUGAAGCGACGGUAAGACGUCGUGGAGGCCCGAACCCACUUGGGUUGAAAACCGAGGGGAUGAGCUGUGGAUAGGGGUGAAAGGCCAAUCAAACUUCGUGAUAGCUGGUUCUCCCCGAAAUGCAUUUAGGUGCAGCGUCGUCUGUUUCUUACCGGAGGUAGAGCACUGGAUGGUCUAGGGGGCCCACAAGCUUACCGAAAUCAGCCAAACUCCGAAUGCCGGUAAGUGAGAGGACGGCAGUGAGACUGUGGGGGAUAAGCUUCAUAGUCGAGAGGGAAACAGCCCAGAUCAUCAGCUAAGGCCCCUAAGGGACUGCUAAGUGGAAAAGGAUGUGGAGUUGCUUAGACAACCAGGAGGUUGGCUUGGAAGCAGCCACCCUUGAAAGAGUGCGUAAUAGCUCACUGGUCAAGUGAUUCCGCGCCGACAAUGUAGCGGGGCUCAAGCAUACCGCCGAAGUUGUGGCAUUUAUGCAAUAUCUCGGCCUGUUUACAGGUCCAGGAGCAUGGAUGGGUAGGGGAGCGUCGUGUGGCGAGCGAAGCGGCCGGGUAACCGAGCCGUGGAUGCCACACGAGUGAGAAUGCAGGCAUGAGUAGCGAAAGACGGGUGAGAAACCCGUCCGCCGAAUAACCAAGGGUUCCAGGGUCAAGCUAAUCUGCCCUGGGUAAGUCGGGACCUAAGGCGAGGCCGACAGGCGUAGUCGAUGGACAACGGGUUGAUAUUCCCGUGACCGGCGAAAUAUCGUCCGUGCUGAGGCGAGUGAUACUAAACAUGCAAGCACUUCUCAAACAGCCUUCGGGUUGUUGGGUUGGGUGAGUCUGUGACCUGAUCUUGUAGUAGGCAAGCUGCGGAGGGACGCAGGAAGGUAGCCCAUCCCGGGCGGUGGUUGUCCCGGGCUAAGAUGGUAGGCCGGCACGUAGGCAAAUCCGCGUGUUGUGUGGCUGAGAGUUGAUGGCACUGCGAAACAUGUUUUGUGGUGUGGGUGAUCCUAUGCUGCCUAGAAAAGCUUCGUGAGCGAGUUGUGAGCCGCCCGUACCCUAAACCGACACAGGUGGAUAGGUAGAGAAUACCAAGGCGAUCGAGAGAAUCGUGGUGAAGGAACUCGGCAAAAUACCCCCGUAACUUCGGGAUAAGGGGGACCUGACACGUCAACACAUUUUCUGUGGGUAGCGUGGAGGGUCGCAGAGACCAGGCCCAAGCGACUGUUUACUAAAAACACAGGUCCGUGCGAAGUUGUAAGACGAUGUAUACGGACUGACUCCUGCCCGGUGCUGGAAGGUUAAGGGGAACUGUUAGCGCAAGCGAAGCGGUGAACUUAAGCCCCAGUAAACGGCGGUGGUAACUAUAACCAUCCUAAGGUAGCGAAAUUCCUUGUCGGGUAAGUUCCGACCUGCACGAAUGGAGUAACGAUUUGGGCGCUGUCUCCACCACGAACUCGGCGAAAUUGCAUUACGAGUAAAGAUGCUCGUUACGCGCAGCAGGACGGAAAGACCCCGGGACCUUUACUAUAGUUUGGUAUUGGUGAUCGGUACAGCUUGUGUAGGAUAGGUGGGAGACUGUGAAGUCCGGACGCUAGUUCGGGUGGAGUCAUCGUUGAAAUACCACUCUGGCUGUUCUGGUUAUCUAACCUCGGACCAUGAUCUGGUUCAGGGACAGUGCCUGAUGGGUAGUUUGACUGGGGCGGUCGCCUCCUAAAAGGUAACGGAGGCGCCCAAAGGUUCCC